AAAAGGGACAUUUGGGGGCAUACGAACUCGGCAGCGAGAGGUGAAUUCUAAGACCUGCCGAGGUCGAACUAAAGCGAAAGCAUUUGCCAAGAAUGUUUUCAUUGAUCAAGAACGAAAGUUGGAGGAUCAAAAACGAUCAGAUACCGUUGUAGUUCCAACUUUAAACUAUGCCGACUGUAGGGGCCAGUUCGGUAUAUCCGUACUUAUUGACCUCCCAGGGAAACCAUAGUAGGGUUCUGGGGGGAGUACGGUCGCAAGUCUGAAACUUAAAGGAAUUGACGGAAGGGCACCACCAGGAGUGGAUCCUGCGGCUUAAUUUGACUCAACACGGGGAAACUUACCCGGUCCGGACACCGAUAGGAUUGACAGACUAAUCGCUCUUUCAUGAUACGGUGAUGAGUGGUGCAUGGCCGUUCAUAGUUGGUGGAGCGAUUUGUCUGGUUAAUUCCGUUAACGAACGAGACUAAAACCUUCAUUUCGUUUGCCAAUCAUGUUCUACGCUUUUAUCGGCUGAGAGCUAGACUUGAACAAACUAUUUGAAUGGGAUUAACGCCGUAAUCGAAAGGCGUUUGAAAUUUUUCAAUAACAGGUCUGUGAUGCCCUUAGAUGUCCGGGGCCGC
rnacentral:rRNA from 1 species